GAUGGGUGUUAUAGGGAUAACCGCUUCUUAUACUCAUGGUAGUAGAGUACCCAAGUUAAUAAUCGAUGUUGUAGGAAAGGUCGCUUCUUAUACUCAUGGUGAUCAGCCGAAAAUUUGCUCUGAUACCAAUUGAUGCAGACUAGGAUAGGCAAGGUUGCUGAAAUUUAGGAUAAUGGUGGCCGAUUUUCUUUCUCUCUUUUUUUUUCUCUAUUGCGGCUAGGAUAUGCUAGAGUUUUCCUAAUGGAUGGAGGAAAAA
rnacentral:lncRNA from 1 species